rfam:Oryza glumipatula chromosome 3, whole genome shotgun sequence.
UCUAAGUGCAAUCAUGAGUUUUCGUGUCCAACUUUGAUCGUCCAUCUUAUUUGAAAAUUUUUUAUAAUUAGUAUUUUUUAUGAGAUGAUAAAAACAUGAAUAUUACUUUUCUCGUGACUUAUGUUUUUAAUUUUUUUUUAAAAAAUUUAAAUAAGACGGAUGAUCAAAUUUGGACGCGGAAAAUCAUGGCUGCGGUUAAA